UGUUCCCUGUGAGCCCUAUGUCUUCCUGGAAGUCUUUAAAGCCAGUCAGCACCAGUGCUGAUUUGAUUCCAGUGCUGAACUCCAUUUGGCUACAAGGAUGCUAGGAGGCCAGCCUGGGACUCCUGCCUCAGCCUCCUGAGUGUACCUAGGGCUAUAAGGAGGGUGUGGGGAGUUUAGAGAGGAAAGCCCCUGCUUCUGUGGAUACCAAAAAAAGAAAAAAGAAACACUGUGAGGAAGUGGGAACUGUCUGGAGUACCUAGCAGGCAAGCAGGAAGUAGGGACAGAAGCUACUCCGACUUCAGGAAGUAGCAGUCAUCAAAGGAAUGCGCCUGAUAAUCUGCACUCAUCGAAGGCUGGUGUCAGCGAGUCCAGAAGGCUGGCAGUUCAGUCGGUGCACGUCAGAUGCUGCUGCAGGGUCUGUGUGAUUUGGCUGGCUGUUUGAAGCGUGUAUCGUGGUUUCUGUUGGAAAGCGAGUUAUCCUCAGAAAGUCCACAUGGAGCCGGGAGAUAAAACACAAAACAGCCCAGGGCUACAAGUCCCCGGUGAGUGCACAGGUCUAAGGAGCGGCCUCCAGCUGCUCUGCGAACUUCCCUAACAGAUUUCAGCCACCCAGAGAGCACCAAGGUGAGGACGAUGGGAGAAGACCACGUGGCAAGAAGACUCAAGGGGCCUCCACCUGACAACCCAUUGGCAGCUGUCACUAGGCACGAGACCCCUCCCCAGUCGAACUUCGGAUGGGACUUUAAUUCUACCCAAAACUGGAUUUAAGGCCUGCCAGGAGGUGCUGACUCGUGUUGUUUCAAGGCCCUAAAUGGGUGGUCAUUUGUUAUGUGGCAAAACAUCUUUAAUACAGCGGAGUAUCGAGUACCUAAGAUGCCUGACGUCCUGUAAGCACGAGGAUUAGCUCCGUGUGCUUCCAGCCCUAUGCUACUCACACAAAUCUGAGCAAGUGUAGCUACUGUUACAUGCUGGAUUGCAGGUCAUUGUCUUUCUAACUCCAGGCUACUCGUCCAACUUUAAAUCCUUAUUUUAUUAGAGCUCA
rnacentral:sRNA from 1 species